CUUGCCAGCCACUAGCUCUUUGUAACUUUCACAUGGUCGCCCACUGAAGCUAAGCAGGGCUACGCCUGGUCAGUACCUGAAUGGGAGACCACAUGAGAAAGCUAGGUUUCUGCCGGAA
rnacentral:rRNA from 1 species